rnacentral:pre_miRNA from 1 species
AAAAAAACAAAUCCUAGGUUUCCGUGUCCAACGUUUGAUCAUCCGUCUUAUUUAAAAAAAUUAUAAAAAAAAUUGAAAAAACAAGUCACACAUAAAGUAUUAAUCAUGUUUUAUCAUCUAACAACAAUUAAAAUACUAAUUAUAAAAAAAAUUCAUAUAAGACGGAUGGUCAAACAUUGAAAAAAAAACCCAGGGUUUAUUUUUUU